UGCCAGCCUCCGCUGUACUCCUGAAUGUGCAAUCGUUAAUCGGAAUCACUGGGCGUAAAGCGCUCGUAGGUGGCUUUGUAAGUCAGAUGUGAAAGCCCACGGCUCAACCGUGGGAUUGCAUUUGAUACUGCAUCGCUAGAGUAUAGGAGAGGGAAGUGGAAUUUCUGGUGUAGGAGUGAAAUCCGUAGAGAUCAGAAGGAACACCGGUGGCGAAGGCGACUUCCUGGACUAUUACUGACAACUGAGGAGCGAAAGCGGGGGGAGCAUACAGGAGGAGAUA
rnacentral:rRNA from 1 species